UGGGGAAUUUUUGGACAAUGGGCGAAAGCCUGAUCCAGCAAUGCCGCGUGUGUGAAGAAGGCCUUCGGGUUGUAAAGCACUUUUGUCCGGAAAGAAAUCCUUGGCUCUAAUACAGUCGGGGGAUGACGGUACCGGAAGAAUAAGCACCGGCUAACUACGUGCCAGCAGCCGCGGUAAUACGUAGGGUGCAAGCGUUAAUCGGAAUUACUGGGCGUAAAGCGUGCGCAGGCGGUUUGCUAAGACCGAUGUGAAAUCCCCGGGCUCAACCUGGGAACUGCAUUGGUGACUGGCAGGCUAGAGUAUGGCAGAGGGGGGUAGAAUUCCACGUGUAGCAGUGAAAUGCGUAGAGAUGUGGAGGAAUACCGAUGGCGAAGGCAGCCCCCUGGGCCAAUACUGACGCUCAUGCACGAAAAGCGUGGGGAGCAAACAGGAUUAGAUACCCUGGUAGUCCAC
rnacentral:rRNA from 1 species